GUCGCCUACGCGCUGGGCAGCGCCGGCGGCGACGACGACGAGGACGACGGUGGCGGCCCCCGGCUCCGCGGGGCCGCUGAGGAGACGCGAGACUCUGACCUGUCGGAGCUGUCGGACACGGACCCACUUUCCGAGCCCGACCCGCCCGCGCGGGACGCCGCCAGCCCCCACCAGGACGGGGCCCCGGGGCCAGGGCCUCGCGGGGGGCGCGGCCAGGAGUGGAGGCCAACUCCGGGACCCACUCCGGGACAGGGCGCAGAGGCACCGGCGCAGGGGCGCGCGGAGCAAGAGGGGCUCCCCGCGAAGGCCCACGCGGAUGGGGAGCCUAAGGCCGGGGUUAGGCGCCGGCGGAAGGGGGUUGGGAGGCACUGGGUUCCCGAGGCCCGGGCCAGCGUCCUGAGGGGCAUUCAGGAUCCUUGGCAAGGCCCUCCUGUCCAAGAGGCUUCUGCAGACGGCAUGAAAGGGCCUCCCUCUGGCAGAGCCUCUAAGCCCCUGGAGAGCAGGCCGCUGAGGGAGACCCUCCGCGGCUUCUGCACAUCCGAGGACAGUGACAUCAAUAUCACCAGUGGGGAAGAGGACCACAAGGAGCAGCCUUUCCCAGGCGUCUGCAACCCCAAAGAGAAGGAGAACAGUGGCCGUGUCCCCCGGGCUCUCCCGGACAGCCAGGCGGCACCACCAGAGGGCCUUUGCUGCUACAUCUGCGGGUCCCCGCUGUCCCCGGCCUCGCACCACCAGGUCCACGUGCAGAAGCAGGAGAAGCUGGCGCAGGCCCCGUUCUUCCCCUUCCUGUGGCUGCACAGCCCGCCUCCCGGGGCACAGCCCAUCAGCGAGGGCGGCAGCACCCUGGUGUGCGCCAGCUGCUUCUCCUCCCUCACGCAGCAGUGGCAGAGCUUCGAGCUGGCCAACGUGCCGGUGCUGCAGCGACUCUAUGUGGUGCCCCUGGACAGCCACGCCCCCGGCAUGGCCUCCAAGGGCAGGAGGCUCCCGAGAGAAGAGGGCCUGCCCUCCGGGGCCCUGCGAGAGGCCUGCUACCUCUGUGGGGAGGACUGUACCCCAGAUGCCCGGGCGGUCCCCUCCAGGAUCCUCAAUGGCAACGCGAGGAGCGCCAUGCAUUUCCCCUUCCUCAGCCUCCUUCCCUGCCCGCCCAACGCCCAGGGCCCCAACAAGCGCUGUGAGGUCCGCAGCUGCCCCAAGUGCUUCAGCGUCCUGGAGGAUGUCUGGGCCCUGUACAGGGCCUGCCAGAACGAGGAGCUCAUCACCUCCGUGCAGGGCUUCCUGGGCAGGUAUCACCAGGCCUUCUCCGCCUCCGACCCUGCCCUCUCCGAGCUGCCCGCCUCAGCCCAGGGCGGUCCCGUGUCCAUCUGCUACAUCUGUGGGGCUGAGCUGGGCCCCGGGAAGGAGUUCCAGCUCAACGUGAACCCUGCCAGCCGCUUGGGCGAGAAGGAGCCCUUCUUCCCCUUCCUGACCGUGUACCCGCCUGCCCCUCGUGCCAGGCCUGUGGAUUCCACCGGCCUGGUGGCCACCUGUGUGCUCUGCUACCAUGACCUGCUGGCCCAGUGGCUGCAGCAUGAGGCCCGCAGCACCCACCACGCUGUCAGCGCCUGGUCCCGACAGUACCAGGUGGAGACGUUCGUGUGCUUCUUUUGCCAGCAGGAGAAGAAACGGUGUCUGGGCCUGAAGUCCGUGCGGGUGGCCCGGCUGCCCCUGUUCCUAUACACCCUGCGAGCAAGCCACAGCCUGUUGGUGGAUGACGGACAGCAGCUGAUCAUCGGCGCUUGCGUGGAGUGUGGGACCCUGGUGUGUGCAGGUCAAGGGCUCAGCCGCCAGGGACCCAUGAGCUGGAGCUCCCCAGUGGCAGCAGCGACGAAGGCUGUUUGUGGAUCUCUGGAAGCAUCUACAGCCACCCACCCUCCCACCCGGGAGUCCGAGCCCCGGCCAGGUGCCCCCACGGAGACCCUGCCCAGAGGCCCCAGGAUGGCCCAGGAGCUGAGGCCAGUACAGUGUCUGCAGAGCAGCCGGGAGGAGGAUGGACCAGACCUCGCCGGUGCAGGCCCAGAUGAAGUAAGCAACGCUUGCCAAGUGAAAUUGAUGGGAAAUCGGAGUGAGCGAUGGCUCCUGCCCUCUCUUCCGGAAUGGACGCUUAUGAAGCCCAAAUGCCUUGUUCCCAGCCCAGCUGAGAUGCAUUCAGGAAACACUGGUAACCUUUGAGGAGGGGGCCAGGUGUAGUGGUUGUGAGCUGGGGGCACUGGGACCUGCAUGCCUGGGGUUUGGAUCUCUGCUGUGUAACUUUGGAGAGAUCGCUUGACUUCUCUGAUCCUGUCUCCUGCAAAAUAUAAGGGUUGCAUUUGAAGAUCCACCUUGCAAAUCUGAUAAUGACAACAAUGCCAACCAUAAUAAUCAUUUCCCUGGUGGGGAAUAAAACACAGAAAGUUGGACUGUGCCGCCUCUGCCCACCGCUCCCCUUCCUGCCACACCAUGCCCACCAGGGCUCCCAGCUUGGCCCAAAAGGAAGGGCCUAGUCUCAGCCCCAGUGGCCUUCUCCCUUCAGCCCCUUGGUGUAGAAUCGGAACCAUACAGCUGUGCCCAGCUGUUCCCAUGUAAUGGGAACCCCAUUACCAUGGUGGGUACUUUGUGGCCAGUUCUAUUUUAGGCACCUGACCUUUUUUUUCUGAGAUGGAAUUUCACUCUUGUCACCCAGGCUGGAGUGCAAUAGAGUGAUCUCGGCUCACCACAACCUCCGCCUCCUGAGUUCAAGCAAUUCUCCUGCCUCAGCCUCCUGAGUAGCUGGGAUUACAGGCAUGUGCCACCAUAUUCGGCUAAUUUUGUAUUUUUAGUAGAGAUGGGGUUUCUCCAUGUUGGUCAGGCUGGUCUCGAACUCCCGACUUCAGGUGAUCUGCCUGCCUCGGCCUCCCAAAGUGCUGGGAUUAUAGGCACGAGCCACCGCACCCAGCCACCUUACUGUUUUUUAUUUUUUUUUUUUUUGUUUUUUGAGACAGAGUCGCACUCUGUAGCUCAGGCUGGAGUGCAGUGGUCCAAUCUCGGGUCACUGCAGACUUCACUUCCCAGGUUCAAGCAGAUUCUCUGCCUCAGCCUCCUGAGUAGCUGGGAUUACAGGCACCCGCCACCAUGCCCAGAGAUUUGGUUUCACCAUCUUGGCCAGGCUGGUCUUGAAUUGCUGACCUUGUGAUCCACCUGCCACGGCCUCCCAAAGUGCUGGGAUUACAGGCGUGAGCCACCAUGCCCGACCCACCUUACAUAUUUUUUAAAAGCCAGGUUUGGCUGGGUGCGGUGGUUCACACCUGUGAUCCCAGCACUUUGGGAGGCCGAGGUAGGCCAAUCACCUAAGGUCAGGAGUUCGAGACCAGCCUGGCCAAUAUGAGGAAACCUUCCCCUGCCCCCUGUCUCUACUAUAAAUACAAAAAUUAGUUGGGUGUGGUGGUGUGUGCCUAUAAUGCCAGCUACUAGGGAGGCUGAGGCAGGAGAAUUGCUUGAACCCGGGAGGCGGAGGUUGCAGUAAGCCGAGAUUGCAGCACUGCACUCGAGCCUGGGUGACAAGAGCAAAACGCCAUUUCAAAAAAAAAAAACCCCGUUUAUCCAGAUAUAGCUUAUGCACAAGAGCAUUCAGUCUUUUUGAGCAUACCGGUCGGUGAAUUCUCACAGUCACCACCACAGUUUACACAAUUCUGCCUCCAACCUCAGCAAAUUCCACGGCGUCCUUUUGUGGUCAUUCUGCACCUUCAGCCCCUGCAGCCAUGGGUCUGUUUUCUGACUCUAUUGUUUCGCCUUUGCUAGGAUGUCAUGCAGAUGGAGGCGUUCAGUACAAAGACUCCUGUGCUUAGUGUGCCAGGGUUGAGCCCCAUCUAAGUUGGUGCGUGCGCUGGUGGUGGUUGGUGCGUGCGCUGGUGGUUGGUUCCUUCCUGUUGCAGAGUAGUGCACCAUUGUGUGGAUGCACCACAAAUGGUUUGCCCGGUGGAGACACUGAAGCCCACAGUCACACUGCUGGGCUCCUCAUAACAGGCCACCUGGCUUUAGAGGCCACCCAAGAGGCCCGUCUCUGCCUGCCUCCCCCCUCACCGAGUUUCUGGUUCCAGGGAGACCGGGCCCACGUGCUGUAAGCAAGAUGCGUCCCCACCCAAGGCCCAUGUCUCGGUGUCAGGUUAGACCAUGGCUGAAGAUGCAUCUUUGUCCCCGCCAGAGAGACCUGUGUCCGGCGCGAAUAAUUGGAUUUUAAUGAAACGAAUGGGAGUGCUGAAGCCGUUUGCCACCCUGGCCUGCAUCGAGGCCCCGCAAUUAAGCCGAUUAUGUUUUGAGAGUCAAGCUGUCUGACUCCUCGCGUCCCUAAUGUGAUGAUGUUUGAUGACCCUGCCAGCGCGGUUAUUUAUUUAUUUACCCAACUCUCAUCAGCUGGGACGUGCCAGUGGGCCCUGGUAAUUAACAGCGGGUGCUGAGCGUGUGUGUUCCCACCCCGGCCCCCGCCUCUCCCUCUGUCUGGCAGCUCAGGGCAUCACCUGGGGACAGACUCUAACGAAUGCGGAUGGCCAGGCCACACCCCCACGGACUCUGAGUUGGUUGAUCUGGGACUGUGGCAAGGCUACUGGGAUUUUUCAAAGCUACCCCAGCAGGGCCCAGAAGCCCCUGGUCUAAAGGUCACAGAUUCUCCUGGAAGCCUGGGUUGCUGCUGCAUCUCACAGGGCCUCCCUCCUUCCUUGGAAUCCCCUGCCCCAGUGGGCCCAGGCUGUUCCCACUGGGAGGCCUGUGGUCUUCUCCUGAAGGCCUCACUGAAACUCAGAGAAGGAUUUGACCCUCAGCGCAGGCCCUGGGAGAGAGAAACCCCUGGUGGGCGGUGGGCAGAACUCCGGGCAUCUUUUCUGUUAGUGGCAGCAGUUUAGCGUUCUCUCUCCCCUGUUCGUUUUGUUAACAAACCGGGCUUGGGCCCCUCCCUCUGCCAGGCGCUGGGCUAGGCGAGUGCUGCAGUGCUGGGUGGGGGGCUGGGCGGUUGCUCGGUGCCUCCAACCCCACCCACGCUGUGGGCACUGAGGGUCCUCCCUGGAGCUGUCUGCUGUCUCUGGCUGUGCGGUUUGGCAGUUUACCUCUGUGUUUUGGUUUUGUGUCCCCAGUGCUGCUGGUCCAGGGCAGAGGGACACCAGGAUUCUCUGUGAUCUCGGACAGAUGAGUCACGGACGCCCCUGGGUCUGGGUCCCUCACCGGUAAAAUGGGGGCAGGGGGUUAGCAACUGCAAGGCAGUCCUUUCCCGCUCCCAUAUCGGAGGAAGGUUCUAGAUUUAGACAUUGGCAUGGCUGAUGGGGGUGUGAAGAAACGCUGUUUUGGGGAGCUCUGCGGUAAAGUCACACGGUGGCUCAGGGGCCCUGAGCAGCCUGCCCACCCUCCUCCACCUCCCUUCCCUCCGUGGAGGCUGGGCAGAUCACUCCGUGUGUGGAUGCGGUGUGUAUGAAGGACUCAGCGUCGGGCGUCCAGGGCGUGCCAGGCAGUGACAAUGUAUGGCGGGGUGGCUGGACGUAGGAAGCGAGG
rnacentral:lncRNA from 1 species